rnacentral:sRNA from 1 species
GCUGGGUACAGUGGCACACACCUGUAAUCCUAGCAACUUGGGAGGCUGAGGUAGGAGGAUCAUGAGUUCAAAGCCAACCUCAGCAAAAGUAAGACACUAAGCAACUCAGUGAGACCCUGUCUCUA